rnacentral:pre_miRNA from 1 species
AGCCUACUGUAUCCGUGCUGAGAUUUCAACACACACCAGACCACAAGGGCUGAUGAGACUUCCAAGAUAAGUGAAGCG